AUGGACGGGGCCGCCCACGUCGCCGGUGACUCCCCGGAGGCCGACAGGGCCUCCUCCUCCGCGUCCUCGACCGACUCAGCCUCCCAGUGCUCCCGACCGCGGAAGGGGAUUCAUUGCGGCGGCGGCGGCGACUGUUCUUCGCUCGGAGAGGAGAGGGCGGCGAAGGCGAUGGCAAGGGCGCCGAUGACGACGUGCAGGACCUCGCACUGUCGCCGGGGAUGUCCUUCGCGGUGGUUCUUGCCCAGCCAGAGGCUCAACAUCAGGGGCCGCGUCUACCCGGCGAUGCUAACUGUCGAUGGCAACAAAGUCCCUAGAAAGGCGGUCACUGAUGGGGAGUUCGAUGUGCUGGACACAUUUGAAGAUGAAGAGUAUGUGAGGGAAGCUGUUGGCAUCUCACUGACCGAUUCGGCAGAUACAAUGAUGGCCUAUGCAUACAUAUGGGGGAAUGUAGAUGAUCCUGACCUCUAUAGUGAAUGGGAUUUUGACGUCGACGGCCCUGCCGACGCGAGGGAUCUCGGGUCGCCGUCGCCCUUUUGGAGCUCCCUCUCCUUCCUGCCUUCUUACCGUGGUGCCAGGGACCAACGGCCGGACACCAGCACGAUGGAGCUAUUGUGCUGCUGCCUCAGGUCGUCCAGGCUCGUCCUCGGUCCCAGCCACCCAUCAUCAAGAUCCUAUGUCCUCUGUCCUUUUUUCCGAUUGAUGUUUACAUGGGUGCUGCUGGCCAUUGCCCCCUUGCCCCCUGGCCAGCAGGGUCGUCCAUGA
rnacentral:rRNA from 1 species